CAGAAGGAUGAAACCGCACUGGGCUCUGACGGCAAAGCCGGCCAUGACAGACAUGCGUUUUUGCGGCAGGCCUAGAAAACCUCGCCCACUGACC
rnacentral:snoRNA from 1 species